rnacentral:rRNA from 1 species
CCCUUAGAUGUUCUGGGCCGCACGCGCGCUACAAUGGUCUUCGCAAACGGAUGCAUUCUCGAAGGAGAAUGCCAAUCUUGGAAUCUAUGCCUUGGUCGGGACAGUUGCUUGCAAUUUUUCGACUCGAACCAGGAAUUCCUUGUAAUCGUGAUUCAUCACAUCACGGUGAAUACGUCCCUGCCCUUUGUACACACCGCCCGUCGCUCCUACCGAUCGAAGAGUUAGGUGAAUUGUUUUGAUCGAUAAGAUUUGACUAUGGUCAACUCUCGUUGUGAAAUUCUGUGAAUCUGACUGUUUAGAGGAAGGAAAAGUCGUAACA